rnacentral:rRNA from 1 species
UACGGGGGGGGCAAGCGUUGUUCGGAAUUACUGGGCGUAAAGCGUGCGCAGGCGGUUUUGUAAGCCAGAUGUGAAAUCCCCGGGCUUAACCUGGGAAUGGCAUUUGGGACUGCAAGGCUUGAGUGCGGCAGAGGAGACUGGAAUUCCUGGUGUAGCAGUGAAAUGCGUAGAUAUCAGGAGGAACACCGGUGGCGAAGGCGGCCUGCUGGGCAAGUUGCUGACACUGGAGGCGCGACAGCGUGGGGAGCAAACAGG